UAUAAAUUUACAGCUAUGCAAGCAGAUAACCUGCUGGGCACAUUUCUUGUUUAAUGUUUUAAAAACAUUCUAUCAUUGGCUCCGCUACUCCCUUGCCCUCCUUUCUUCAUUAAAAAACAGAGGUAUAGUCAAGUCCACCUGACAUCACCUCCAAAGGGAGGCUCCUAUUAUACACACCAACCAUACCAGCUCAAAAAUGCAGUACUUAGGGCAAAACUGGACAUCCAUCCAAGUGCCUACCAGUCACCACCCAUGCGAUGGAAAAAAUGAUCCUCAACAGACAGAGUAAAAUGUCCUCAAUCGUGGGAAUCCCUCCAAAGCAUGUUCUCAUCAGAGUAUCAAACCUAAGCCAACUGCAGAGUGUCACAGGCACCUCCUAUCCUGUUCUCUAACCACCAUUCUUCCUACUUAUUUCAGGAAACACUGUCUGACCAAAAUUGUCAUUUUCGUGGAAGAGUUGGGACUUCAAAAGUCAAAGCUUUUACACAGUUUUUAGAUUUUACAUAUGACAUGGGCUGGGAAGUUAUUUCAACAACCCUGGGAUUGCAACAUUCUACGUCAGAAGUGGCGCUAAGCAGGCCAGAAUGUCCUGGGUUUCCUUAUUCUUAUUCUGUCAUAGCUGAGCUAACCAGGGUGGUG